UUUGGUUAAGUUAGAAAGGGCGCACGGUGGAUGCCUUGACACUAGGAGUCGAUGAAGGACGGGACUAACGCCGAUAUGCUUCGGGGAGCUGUAAGUAAGCUUUGAUCCGAAGAUUUCCGAAUGGGGAAACCCACCAUACGUAAUGGUAUGGUAUCCUUAUCUGAAUACAUAGGGUAAGGAAGACAGACCCAGGGAACUGAAACAUCUAAGUACCUGGAGGAAGAGAAAGCAAAUGCGAUUUCCUGAGUAGCGGCGAGCGAAACGGAACAUAGCCCAAACCAAGAGGCUUGCCUCUUGGGGUUGUAGGACAUUCUAUACGGAGUUACAAAGGAACGAGGUAGACGAAGCGACCUGGAAAGGUCCGUCGUAGAGGGUAACAACCCCGUAGUCGAAACUUCGUUCUCUCUUGAAUGUAUCCUGAGUACGGCGGAACACGUGAAAUUCCGUCGGAAUCUGGGAGGACCAUCUCCCAAGGCUAAAUACUCCCUAGUGAUCGAUAGUGAACCAGUACCGUGAGGGAAAGGUGAAAAGCACCCCGGAAGGGGAGUGAAAGAGAUCCUGAAACCGUGUGCCUACAAAUAGUCAGAGCCCGUUAACGGGUGAUGGCGUGCCUUUUGUAGAAUGAACCGGCGAGUUACGAUCCCGUGCGAGGUUAAGCUGAAGAGGCGGAGCCGCAGCGAAAGCGAGUCUGAAUAGGGCGUUUAGUACGUGGUCGUAGACCCGAAACCAGGUGAUCUACCCAUGUCCAGGGUGAAGUUCAGGUAACACUGAAUGGAGGCCCGAACCCACGCACGUUGAAAAGUGCGGGGAUGAGGUGUGGGUAGCGGAGAAAUUCCAAUCGAACCUGGAGAUAGCUGGUUCUCCCCGAAAUAGCUUUAGGGCUAGCCUUAAGUGUAAGAGUCUUGGAGGUAGAGCACUGAUUGGACUAGGGGUCCUCAUCGGAUUACCGAAUUCAGUCAAACUCCGAAUGCCAAUGACUUAUCCUUAGGAGUCAGACUGCGAGUGAUAAGAUCCGUAGUCAAAAGGGAAACAGCCCAGACCGCCAGCUAAGGUCCCAAAGUGUGUAUUAAGUGGAAAAGGAUGUGGAGUUGCUUAGACAACUAGGAUGUUGGCUUAGAAGCAGCCACCAUUUAAAGAGUGCGUAAUAGCUCACUAGUCGAGUGACUCUGCGCCGAAAAUGUACCGGGGCUAAAUACACCACCGAAGCUGCGGAUUGAUACCGANUGGUAUCAGUGGUAGGGGAGCGUUCUAAGGACAGUGAAGUCAGACCGGAAGGACUGGUGGAGUGCUUAGAAGUGAGAAUGCCGGUAUGAGUAGCGAAAGACGGGUGAGAAUCCCGUCCACCGAAUGCCUAAGGUUUCCUGAGGAAGGCUCGUCCGCUCAGGGUUAGUCAGGACCUAAGCCGAGGCCGACAGGCGUAGGCGAUGGACAACAGGUUGAUAUUCCUGUACCACCUCUUUAUCGUUUGAGCAAUGGAGGGACGCAGAAGGAUAGAAGAAGCGUGCGAUUGGUUGUGCACGUCCAAGCAGUUAGGCUGAUAAGUAGGCAAAUCCGCUUAUCGUGAAGGCUGAGCUGUGAUGGGGAAGCUCCUUAUGGAGCGAAGUCUUUGAUUCCCCGCUGCCAAGAAAAGCUUCUAGCGAGAUAAAAGGUGCCUGUACCGCAAACCGACACAGGUAGGCGAGGAGAGAAUCCUAAGGUGUGCGAGAGAACUCUGGUUAAGGAACUCGGCAAAAUGACCCCGUAACUUCGGGAGAAGGGGUGCUUUCUUAACGGAAAGCCGCAGUGAAUAGGCCCAAGCGACUGUUUAGCAAAAACACAGCUCUCUGCGAAGCCGUAAGGCGAAGUAUAGGGGGUGACACCUGCCCGGUGCUGGAAGGUUAAGGAGAGGGGUUAGCGUAAGCGAAGCUCUGAACUGAAGCCCCAGUAAACGGCGGCCGUAACUAUAACGGUCCUAAGGUAGCGAAAUUCCUUGUCGGGUAAGUUCCGACCCGCACGAAAGGUGUAACGAUUUGGGCACUGUCUCAACCAGAGACUCGGUGAAAUUAUAGUACCUGUGAAGAUGCAGGUUACCCGCGACAGGACGGAAAGACCCCGUGGAGCUUUACUGUAGCCUGAUAUUGAAUUUUGGUACAGUUUGUACAGGAUAGGCGGGAGC
rnacentral:rRNA from 1 species